rnacentral:rRNA from 1 species
AUUGAACGCUGGCGGCAUGCCUUACACAUGCAAGUCGAACGGUAACGGGCCUUCGGGUGCCGACGAGUGGCGAACGGGUGAGUAAUGCAUCGGAACGUACCUUUCAGUGGGGGAUAACGUAGCGAAAGUUACGCUAAUACCGCAUAUUCUGUGAGCAGGAAAGCAGGGGAUCGCAAGACCUUGCGCUGAUUGAGCGGCCGAUGUCAGAUUAGCUAGUUGGUGAGGUAAAAGGCUCACCAAGGCGACGAUCUGUAGCGGGUCUGAGAGGAUGAUCCGCCACACUGGAACUGAGACACGGUCCAGACUCCUACGGGAGGCAGCAGUGGGGAAUUUUGGACAAUGGGGGCAACCCUGAUCCAGCCAUGCCGCGUGAGUGAAGAAGGCCUCGGGUUGGUAAAGACGUCUUUCGGUCCCGGGGAACGGAAAUACGCAUGGGUUAAGU